GAUGAACGCUGGCGGCGUGCCUAAUACAUGCAAGUCGAGCGAACGGACGAGAAGCUUGCUUCUCUGAUGUUAGCGGCGGACGGGUGAGUAACACGUGGAUAACCUACCUAUAAGACUGGGAUAACUUCGGGAAACCGGAGCUAAUACCGGAUGAUAUUUUGAACCGCAUGGUUCAAAAGUGAAAGACGGUCUUGCUGUCACUUAUAGAUGGAUCCGCGCUGCAUUAGCUAGUUGGUAAGGUAACGGCUUACCAAGGCAACGAUGCAUAGCCGACCUGAGAGGGUGAUCGGCCACACUAGAACGGAGACACGGUCCAGACUCCUACGGGAGGCAGCAGUAGGGAAUCUUCCGCAAUGGGCUAAAGCCUGACGGAGCAACGCCGCGUGAGUGAUGAAGUUCUUCGGAUCGUAAAACUCUGUUAUUAGGGAAGAACAUAUGUGUAAGUAACUGUGCACAUCUUGACGGUACCUAAUCAGAAAGCCACGGCUAACUACGUG
rnacentral:rRNA from 1 species